GCCUUUGUAGCUCAGGUGGUAGACCAUGAGGCUUUGGAUCACAGGGACAUGGGUUCAAGUCCCACGUUAGGCA